GCAUCUCCUAUAAUCACGCACCCUCAGAUGGACAUCAUCCCUGCGCUCGCUCCCCCUGCCGCCGAGCCGCACAGGGAGCAGGAGCCGCCGCGCCCCCGGCCUCGUGCCGUGCCGCGCGCAGCAUGCCGCGCACCGUGCUGCCGUCAUGCCCCCGACCCGCCACCGCUGCUGUGCCGCCCCCAGCGCUCCCGUUGAAGGUCCCUCCCGCCAUGUCACACUUCACGGGCCUGCCGCGCCGCGCCUCGAUUCCUCCGUUCCGCUCCCCGGUGCCUCUUCUCCCUGCCGUGCUCCCUCGACAGCGAGAUCUCUAGCACCAUGCGUACGCGAGGAGGGCUUUUCCAGAGAAUCCCUUCCUCUGAAUCCUCCAUGUAAAAGAUUGCCACAUGAAAAGAGUUGAUUCCUGGAUUGAAUUGUGAAACUUAGUGGAUGGAGAGAAUGUCUUCGUUUUUCAAAAAUCAAAUGACUUCCAUUUGGCACUGUGUUAAGGUCUAAUUAUGCUAAGCCAUGAGGAUGGGGGAGACUGAGAUGGCUGAACAACUGAGCCCAAUGCUCCACUAUUCAAGAAUAUUGAGGUUAGAUGUACAUGUUUCAUUAGAUAGGAGCUUCUUUAUUUUAGGUUCCAGUCGAGUCAAUAUUGGUUGAUCUUGCUUCUUUAUUUUGGUGAAAUUAUUUCCAUUUGCGAUUGAAGAUUGCAGUGUGAUUUUCUGCCUUUUACCUACAUAGCUUGUGUUGUCUUUGAACCCAUUUUCCUAUUCAAUUGCCAAAUUACGUGCAGUUGUUGACAAAAUUGCAGCAUGCUCAAGGUUUGAUGGUGAAGCAAAUGUGAAUUACUGGGUCUCCUAUCAUUUCCCUUUUACUGGAAACUGUGGGGAUGAUAGUUCAUAAUUUGAGCUGAUGCAUCUUACAAUCCCAAAAGAGUUCUUUUUGUGGAAGUCACGAACCUUGUAUCCUAAACCAUUUUGGUUGUUUAAUCUGUUAAAAUCUGCACCUUUAUUGUCUCAUCGACUCAUUUUGAAACAGCGAUGCGCCGCCCCUCUCCCACCAGGACCCCCAACGCCGGCAGCACCUCCCCAUCUCUAUAUGCUGAUUUCUCUAUUGAUUCCAUUAAAAUUGGUUGGAGGUGAUAGAGGAUGGAGGUGGCUUUCUUUCUGUUUAUUGAAGAACUGGUGGAUUCUCCUGACGCUUGUGCGUGCUAAUUAUGCCUAUUCUUGCUCAUUGGCUUGGUCAGAAACCGGAGUCAUGGAGGCUUACUUGUCACACUAUCAUAGGAAAGAAGGAAAAUUCCGGCAAGGCAUGAUUUCACUAACCUUGGCUACUAUUUAUAGUUAUAUUAUAAGUAUGUUUCAGGAAAAAAAGUCAGGUUGUUUUCCAAUGUGGAAGAAAUAUUGUACUGUUAACCGGCACAUUUGAUGUACUGGCAUAAUAUGAUCCAAUUGUACCUCCUGCUAUGCAGUGUUGCCAUGCACACAUGUCCUGCCUUGUUGCCAUGGGCACCAGUUCCUGACGGUUUCCAAGUUUUCUUUGUGUCUUCACUUGCAUUGCUAGACUUAUUCGCUCAAAAGGUGAACACAUCAUAGAACAUGUAUACUACUGAUAACAAUAUCUUUAAUGAUGGAUAAUCUCUUCUUCGCAUCCCUAUUAUUACCCUGUAUGAUUGGACUUGAUAGUAGAAUUAUUUGUGUGUGAGUUUGUAUAUUUAAGACCGUUCCUGGGCAUCCAUGGUUAAUUGUAAAUUGUGUGAACUGUUGGCAUAGAAUAGAUCCAAGCAAAACAGCGGCCAUCAUCAGCUUGGCGGCGGGGCGGCGCGGUGGCUCG